ACUGGAGGGGGUGGCCAUGGCCUCCUACAGCGGUGGAGGAUCCCAACCCAGGGAUCGAACCCCCAUCUCCUGGGACUUCUGCAUUGCAGAUGGAUUCUUUACCUUUGAGCCACUGGGGAAGCUUGUGAAGGCUUAGCUACUUACUAAAUCAGUCAGUGCCCUGUCCCAGGGGGACGUUAACACAGUUGCCACAUGCCAAGCCCUGUGGGCACAAGUGAGAUCUUAGUGGUUAAAAACAAAAACAUAGAACCUCACCUCAUCAGUUUCAUUCAUCACAUCUUGCUGGCAGCCAGGUCUUGCCCUUGUUCUAAGUCACCGCUAGUCUGUUGAGAAAGCCGAGAAAAGUCUUGGGGCUCUCUGGUCUGUCUCCUCCUUCCAUCUUAGCCUUUGUUAAUUGUCUCCUAAAAGACCUUUAAAAAAAAGAUGUGAGAAACGUCUGGCUGCCCCCAAGCUGCUGGCUUUCUAGUAUUAAAUGGUCUGUUUGCUUUUUUCCAGAAGAUGGAACUCCACGGAGGUUGAAGUGGGGGCAGCGACGUGAAGGGAGAGUCUUGGAGAUUUUUCUGGAGAGGAGUAGGGUCCGGGGUACCCUGUGCUCUGCCUCUUCUGGGUGGCCAGACGUGCAGAAGGAAGGAAGCUCAGAUGUUGGGGGAAUUCCCAGUGGCAAGACUUUCCAGGGCGUCAGGCGGCAUGUCUGAUAUUGUGGGAUCCAAGCCCAGAGGCAGAUAUGGCCAUCAUUGAAACAGUCGUAUUCUGCCUCCUGAUAGUGAGUGGAGCGUUCGUCACUUGCGCCGUCUCCCUGGACCGUCAGAGCCCCCUCGACGCGGGAAGCAGAGCCGGUACUAGCAUCUCAUUUUACAAAUCAAACUGAGAUUCAGAGACACAGGGUAACUUGCUCAGAGUCACACAGCAGACAAGCAGUGAGCAGUCCUAGGACUUGAAUCAUAUUCUUUCGAUUCCUGUUUUUCCUGCGGUAGCACAGGUUGGGCCUGAAUGGGAUGUGACAGUUGGGGGAACCAGACGGGGUUAUCCCCUGUCUGUACUGCAGCAGGAUUGGCAGGAACCUCCUCGGGGACAGAGACUGCAGCUAACCCAUGUGUGUCAUCCCCUUCCUCGUCUUCAAAGUGCCUGGACCUCACUAGGUGUCUAAUCUCAGGCAAACGGCUUCUCUUCUCUUUGUAUCCCCUCAGUUUGCUCAUCUGUAAAAUGGGUGUCAUUGCCACUGUUAAUGUGCUAUACAUGCAGGACAUACUCUGUAAAUGGAAAUGGUCCACCUCGCCCAUCACAUGCUCAUCAAAAAGACCUUUGGCCCUGGGUCCCACUGGUUUGAGGUUGUUGAAAGCACUGUACUUGGCAUCAUUUGAUUCUAAUAAUCACUUAGCUUUGGCAAGCACUUAACAUUUUUGACCUGAUGAAUCCUUUCAUCUAGAGCCCUGUCUGAGCACUCCUGGCUUCUGAGGCUUUUGUUUUUUUUGCCAGUUCACAGCCCUCUGGGGGCACCCAUCCUAUUCAGCUCAGCUGCCAUAACAAAAGAGCAGAGUCUGGGGGGCUUAAACCACAACACUUAUUUUCUCACCGUUUCAGAGGCUGGACGUCUGAGGUCAGGCCAUCAGCGUGGUCGAGUUUUCAUGAGAAUCCUCUUCCUGAUUUGCAUUCAGCUCCCUCCUUUCUAUGUCUUUCUGUGAGUGGAGAGGGAGCUCUGGCGUCUCUUUCUCUUCCUAUAAGGCCACGAACCCUUUGGGAUUAGGGCCCCACCCGUAUGGUCUUUUAAUUUCAAUUUCAAAAAAUUAAAUGAAACUAAAAGACACUUGCUCCUUGGAAGAAAAGCUAUGACAGCAUGUUAAAAAGUGGAGACAUAACUUUGCUGACAAUUAUCUGUGUAGUCAAAGCUUUGGUUUUUCUUGUAGUCAUGUACAGACUUCUUUAUGUAUGGACCAGAAAGAAGGCUGAGUGCUGAAAAAUUGAUGCUUUCAAACUGUGGUGCUGGAGAAGAGUCUUGAGAGUCCCUUGGAUGGAAAGAAGAUCAAACCAGUCAACCCUAAAGGCAAUCAACCCUGAGUAUUAAUUGGAAGGACUUUGCUGAAGCAAAAGCUCCAGUACUUUGGAUAUCUGAUGCGAAGAACCCACUCACUGGAAAAGAUCCUGAUGCUGCCAAAGAUGGAGGGCAGGAGGAGAAGGGGAUGACAGAGGAUGAGACGGUCAUAUGCCAUCACUGACUCGAUGAACAGGAGUGUGAGCAAGCUCCGGGAGAGAGUGAAGGGCAGGGAAGCCUACUGUGCUGCAGUCCAUGGGAUCGCAGAGAGCUGGACACAACUUAGUGACCGAAGAACAACAGCUUAUGACCUUGUUUAACCUUUAGCACCUGCUCACAGGAAGUCGGCCGGAUCGUCG
ensembl:lncRNA